rnacentral:lncRNA from 1 species
ACCCGAAUUUCAAAAAAAAAAGGUUAAAUAUGUCAUAUAAUCAUUCAAAUCAAAACACAUAAACAUCUCAAAGGGGCUUUGAUCAUUUUCGGAGUUGUGAACUUAAUACACACAACUUUAUCAAUAAUAUCAUUGAGACAUUGAGAAUGAAUGACUUUGAUAGGUUUGGCUUAGUGGCUCGCCUUCGAGUUGUGCCAUGCUCGAGAUUGAAGUUCUUCCUUGUAGUACGCUCUUGUUAUGAUGCUUUCUUGAAUCAUAUCUUUAUAAAAGAUCAUUCAUCGAUGUUUGACCUAAACUUGAAACUAGGAUUACAGAGAUUGAGCAAUAUUUGACAAGAACAAAUGAUUUAAAGCAGGAAUAUGCGGAGUAAAUGGUGCUGAACAAAAAUCCGUGAUCGAUUUCAAUGUCGGUUUCAUGAUUUAGUAAGAAUUGAAGAAUCAUCAUUUAGGAAGGGGGCUAAUUGAGGAAGAAGGCCAAGGUUGGGGUUUAGGAGGAGAUGGGGGAGGAAUGAGGCUCUGUUGCGUGGGUGGGUGUGAGGGAGGCCGAAUGGCAUUGUAGUGAGGCGGCAUGGAUGGCGACAAGGUGGGGGUUGAUAGUGAAAUUAGAGCGACGUGGGUGGGAGUGACUAGGGGUGAUCACG